UAGGUUAUUUCUGAGACAAGUUUCAUGGUAUUGGGAGUAAGACUCGGUGGCCUUAUACAGCAAAGAUAUAAGUUAGCAUUCAGUUUGUCCAUAAGGAUUGAGACUGGAAAUGGCAAUUGGAGCAGACUUUUAAGGAUGCCAUUACUGUGGCUGCAUGAAAUAAUUGUGUGAUCUAUUCUGUAAAAAGAAAAAAAAAGCAAUUGAAAAAUGUUAAAUAUGUUUUAAGAAAACAAAUUGUAAAGAUUCUCCAAUUUCUACAAGAAUGGAAGUUUGAAUUUCUAAUGAUCUUAAAAUUUAAAUUUAGGAAAAUUUCUUUUUAUCCCUUGCAUAAAAUGGCUAGAUCUUUUUAUACUUACAAACCUCAGAGGGAAUAUUAACACUUCUAGUGGUUUAGAAUGGAGGAUCUAAAAAAAAAGAAAAAAAAAAAAACUUUUGUAAAAUAUUUCAAUUUAUUUUACAAGAAGCAUAGUUAAAGAACAUCUAGGGUGAAAAUGAAAGAGUACUAAAUGUUAUAUUGAAAUUUGUUGAUUUAAAAAAAAAAAUCAUAUUCUUAUUCCAUUAAAUUUUUGUUUUUGUUAAAAGACAGCAAGGGUGAAAAAUUGUGUUUAAUCCUUCAAAAAAUUGUUAUUUAUAUUUUUUUAAAUGGAAAUUAAAAUUCUUUUUGAUUAAUUUUGCAAUAUUGAUGAUAAAUUUAAGAUGUAACAUAUAGCAAAAUUUGUUUAUAUUUAUUUACUUUCCAUCGCAAACAUGUGUCAAACGAAAGCCUAUCACUUGAGGUAUUCUGCCCAGUUGUAAUGAAGUCCCAAUUAGGGUCAAAUUUGGGGAAAGGUGAGGUCAUAAUACUGUUGAACUAAUCAUACUGGAAGAUUCUUCAGUGUAAGCAAUAUACUAGACAUUUUUUAAUCAACAUAAUUUAUGAUAUAUGUGUGAGGUUUUUUUUUUAAUUAUCAGAUGUUUGCUAAUUUUAUUGACUAUUAUUUAGAGCUCUGUAAAUAAAAAAAAAAUGUAAACAAAGUUCUAAAUAAUAGAUUUUUAUCAGGGGAGGAUCCUGGAUUUUUGAAAAGAGAGAGGAGCAUAUUUCCAUCAAAGUGAAGAAAUUUUUUUCAGAUGAUAUAAAACUUAAAAACGAUGUAUUUUCCAAACAAAGCCAGGCAUACAUCCUCUAUGCCAACCCCCUUGAAUCCACCACUGUUUACUGUGGGAGAAAUUAUUUGUCACUACUAUUAUUGAGUAUAUUCUCAAAAAAUGAUCAGGUGAAAGUGCAGGCAUCUGAUAUUUUUGAUGAACUGUAUUUUGUAAAAAUAAAUGGAAAACAAAUACAUUGACAAGUGAUUAAAUAAACUGUUUUAAACAAAAAUAACAUGAGACUUUAUGAACUAGUGUCUAAAGGUUUUGACAAAACUCAUAGAAUAGGAGGACAUUCAUUCACUUACAUUGAUACAAUGAUGACAGCCAUCUUGGCAGCCAGGAUAGCAGCUCUAAGGAAGAUUGUCAAUUCUUCAACCAAUUCUGAGGCUUUACCAGGAAAUAUUUGUGGUUGAUGUAAUGUAUUCAUGGUGUUGAAGUAAAACUUGGGAGAUCUGAUACUGCUAACAUUUUGGUAAAAGUGUAACUGCUGCUGCCUUAGUGUGUUGUCAGUCCUGUGGACAAUAAUUAUGGGUCAAUCCUGUGGAAGAUAAUAAUCAUGCAAACCAUAUGAUAAACUAGUGUUGUUUUGUUUUUACUAUUAUCAUCCAAACCAUAUGAUAAACUAGUGUUGUUUUGUUUUUACUAUUAUCGUCCAAACCAUAUGAUAAACUUGUUUUGUUUUUACUAUUAUCAUCCAAACCAUAUGAUAAACUUGUUUUGUUUUUACUAUUAUCAUCCAAACCAUAUGAUAAACUUAUUUUGUUUUUACUAUUAUCAUCCAAACCAUAUGAUAAACUAUUGUUGUUUUGUUUUUACUAUAAUCCUUAAAUGAUUUAUUCUCUAUUCUUUUAACCCCAUCCAGACCCUCAUACUUAUCAUAUUUAGUUGUCAUAGAUUAUCUUCAGUAUCAAAUGGCACUGUGUAUUUUUUUUGGGGGGUGGGGGUUGUCAAAAUCAAAUUUUAAGUGUCCCAAUUGAAAUGAAUGGACUUGUGAAACAAGAAAGCAAAAUUAAGCAGCUUCUAUCAUAAUUUUAUAAUGUGAAUGAUAAGAUGGUUUGCAUAUUUUUUAGUUUGUUUCACUGCUUGUAGUUGUCAGAUGCCAGCAUUGAAGAUUCAAAUUAAAAUGAAAAUUCAUUAUAUGAAAGUGUUGAAAAAAGGCCAAUAAUACUCUUUUACUGUAAAUUCAGAAAUUAAUGUGUGCAUUUAUUAUUGUAAAUUCUCGACAUCUGGCAAAGGUGUGAAAUUUAAUUACUUUUU